rnacentral:lncRNA from 1 species
AAAUAUCUCAAUUACAUUUCCCCCUUGCCCUAUCAGGCAGUGUCACCAAACAAAAUUUAUUGGUGUGGUUGCAGACACAACACAAGAUAGAGAUGGACAAGAGAGAUGGUAAGUUUGGACCACUGCCAGUUAUGGCAGUGCCUCCAUUCCAGCAGAUGUCUCGCAUCGAUCAGCCUAUCCCACCUCCUGUUGGGUAUGCCCCUCAGCCUGCUUAUGGGCAACCAUAUGGUUAUCCUCCACCUGGUUCGUAUCCUCCUGCUG